UAGGGAAUCUUCGGCAAUGGGGGGAACCCUGACCGAGCAACGCCGCGUGAGUGAAGAAGGUUUUCGGAUCGUAAAGCUCUGUUGUUAAGGAAGAACGAGUGUGAGAAUGGAAAGUUCAUACUGUGACGGUACUUAACCAGAAAGGGACGGCUAACUACGUGCCAGCAGCCGCGGUAAUACGUAGGUGGCAAGCGUUGUCCGGAUUUAUUGGGCGUAAAGCGAGCGCAGGCGGUCAAUUAAGUCUGAUGUGAAAGCCCCCGGCUCAACCGGGGAGGGUCAUUGGAAACUGGUUGACUUGAGUGCAGAAGAGGAGAGUGGAAUUCCAUGUGUAGCGGUGAAAUGCGUAGAUAUAUGGAGGAACGCCAGUGGCGAAGGCGACUCUCUGGUCUGUAACUGACGCUGAGGCUCGAAAGCGUGGGUAGCAAACAGG
rnacentral:rRNA from 1 species